ensembl:lncRNA
GGUUAUGGCUCUGAGAGCAGCCACAAGACAAAACAACUGGAUUGAGAGGAAGAGGAGGAACUGUGUUGAGAAGAACCACAUAUGUACUGUACAAUGUAGUGUGAGAUUAUGGUAAAUAUGCAACACGUGCAGGAUCCAAGAGUGAUUAUCCAGACCACAGUGCAGCAGAUCCUUCUAUAUCUGAGAGAGCUCUGAGAACAGCCACAAGACAAAACAAAUGAAUGGAGAGGAAGAAUAGAUACUGUGUUGAGAAGAACCAUGUGUGCGCUGUAACAUUCUUUGAAAUGAACAUUGUGAGCAAACAGGAUCCAAAAGUCAUUAUCCAGACCACAGUGCAGCAGAUCACUCUAUAUCUGAGAGGUUUGUACUUCAGAAAGGUUACAGGAUGAAGCACUGCCAGAGCUCUGAGAACAGUCACAAGACAAAACAACUGGAUGGAGAAGAAGAGGAGGAACUGAAUCAAGUAGAAGUAUAUGUACAACUCAUAAUUAAAUUGUUCUGUAGUAAACAUGCAGCACAAACAAGAGCCAAGACAAAUUAUCCAGGCCGGAGUGCAGCAGAUCACUCUAUAUCUGAGAGGUUUGUACUUCAGAAAGGUUACAGGAUGAACCACUGCCAGGUAACGCUCAACACAGAUCAGACACUGAAACAGAGGACGACCAGUGACAAGUAGUCCUAAUAAAAACCCUAAUAAUCGUAGAUAUAAAACCCCAGUAAAAUAAUAAAAUACAGAAAACAAAGAGUUCAGACAAAUACCAAUCUCAGAAACAGAGAGAUUGAGGAUGAAGAAGUCUGAUGCAACUCCAUUUCCCGUUCCUUGGACGAUGAGCAAUAUAAUAUAGAAGUGUGUAGGAAAGCCGAGAAAAACAUUGAAGCUGUAAAUAUAAAUGUCCAGUAUGGUUAUUAUCGCAAAUAAAUGAUUUGUGGAGUUUGUAGAUGCUUCAGGCGUGGUGAAGUUCAUAGUCGAAUUAUUCAUCUCCUUUGUGUUUGUCCACAAAACUGGUACUAAUUUUGCCUCUACAGGGGGAAAAGUAGGGUAAUGUCAGGAAGACUGGG